rnacentral:rRNA from 1 species
AACGAACGCUGGCGGCAUGCCUAACACAUGCAAGUCGAACGAGACCUUCGGGUCUAGUGGCGCACGGGUGCGUAACGCGUGGGAACCUGCCCUUAGGUUCGGAAUAACUCCCCGAAAGGGGUGCUAAUACCGGAUCAUGUCUUCGGACCAAAGAUUUAUCGCCUUUGGAUGGGCCGGCGUUGGAUUAGCUAGUUGGUAGGGUAAAAGCCUACCAAGGCGAGGAUCCAUAGCUGGUCUGAGAGGAUGAUCAGCCACACUGGGACUGAGACACGGCCCAGACUCCUACGGGAGGCAGCAGUGGGGAAUAUUGGACAAUGGGCGAAAGGAUGAUCCAGCAAUGCCGGGUGAGUGAUGAAGGCCUUAGGGUUGUAAAGCUCUUUUACCCGGGAUGAUAAUGACAGUACCGGGAGAAUAAGCUCCGGCUAACUCCGUG